CGGCACCACGGACUCACGCAGGCGCGUUCCAUCGCUCGUUCAGUAAACCUGUUGAACCUAGCGCUGUUAGACCCUGAGACCUCAGAAGAAAAGACGUAGUUUCUGUUCUCGAGGGUAAGGUCCGAGCCUGAACCGUGUACGAAACCACCCUCUCCUCCCUUGGCAUGCCUGCUUUGCUGCAGUCCACGGUGAAGGAGUUCUUCUGGCCCACAAAGGCCUGGGACAGCCCAGGGCCCCGUGUCACCACCUUGCUGGCAUCCGAGGAGAACUUGGGGAUGGAGCUGUAGCUGGAGCCACGGCUUGAGGAGGAUUUGGUCACGGUCUCCACCAGAACUGUGGAUGUUUCAUGAAGGCUGUGGCCUCCAGACAGCCGGGGACCUGAGGGACAGCGUGGGGUAAACACAAGCUGGGUCAGAGGCCUGCCUUCCUGAGGCAGCAGGCCCUCAGCCAGCACCAACAGCCCCGUGGGCCACAUCCCUUCCCCGCUGUGGCACCCAGAAUUCCUAGUGAGCCCGGCUGUGCGCACAGCUAAGGCUCAUCCUGAGACCCUGGGCCUCUGAUGGCUCCAGCCCUGGCACGGUCUGGGAACUCAAGUCCCAGGGUUAAGAGUCUUGCUUUAAAAAGGAACAUAUAUCCAACUGAUCCUUCACACUGCUUCCAAAAGGAAAGCUUGCUAAAUGUUUACUGAGCUUUGUGUUUUAGGAAACCAGAAACAUAUGAAGAAAGUUAAGCUAAAGCUUGGGAGCCACUGCAGGGAAAAAUUAAUCAAGUGACAGACAACAGUAAAGAAGAAGGACUUGAUUUUCAAAAAUGAUUCUCCGUGGUUCCACAGAAUGGUGUGCCGUGCAAGGUCAGGCCCACUUUAUUCCUGGUAAGUUGUCCGUGGAUUUUAGGUCAGACUAUGACUGAAUAUGAAUGGCUGCUGGAGUCAUCCAAGCUGGGUUGGGCUGCAGGCUGGGCUGGAGGGAUGUCCCCCACCCCGGGCACUCACCUGUGACUUUGGCCUUGAAGGGGCUGCCCACGAUGUGCUGGGGGCCACCGUACUUGAUGGCAAUGAGGUAGUUGCCAGGAGCCAUGGGAGUGUAAGUGACAACAUGGCCCUCAGGACACUCCCGACAGUCCAGCUGCACCUUGGAGGGGCCAUCGAUGGUGACAGACAGGGCCCCUGAGCCCGCAUUCAGGGUGUUGACAAUGAACUCUGAUGACACGCCUAGGGACCAGAGGUAGCAAGGCGGUAGGUUGGGCCCUAGGCUCCGAGAACAGAUCUCUGCAAGGACUCAGCCCUCUGGGACAGGGCAGUACAGGACCAGAAGCUGAGUGCCCCAAUAUCGGACCCUCCUCCCUAGCCCCAGGCACUCACCAGUAGUGCCUCCCUCAAGUCCAGGACCAUAAGCUGACACCAAGCCUGGGUCCCCAGCCUGGCUCUGUUCCCCAACGCGGAUCUUGAAGGGACUGCCAGGGAUGUGGGCACCGUUGAACUUGACAUCAAUAGAGUGGACGCCGUUCUCGUGGGGGAUGAAGCGGAUGGUGUGCUUGUCUGUGGGGCGGAGGGUUGGUCAGUGCCCAGAGGCCCAGAGGAGGAAGGGUGUGGCCUAGACUGCCCUGGGGAGGCUCCCUGGAGGAGGUGAGUCACUGGGGAGGACUUGAAGAAGCACAAGGAGGCCAAUUGGGGGUGGGAGUGUGAGAAGAUGAUCCUGGGGUGAGGCAUGGCGCCCCCUGCUAUACGGAUACUGGGAAAGAGGGAGAGACAUCUGCCUGACUGUCUCUUCCAAGGUCACUGCUAAGCCCUGGACACAUGGACCUGCCUUCACCUCCUGCCUAUCUCUCAGGAUGGCAGAGGGGCCCCACCCCAUGGCACAUACCUGGAGGCUGGUGACAGUGAGGCGGCGAGCAUCAUCUGAGAGGGAGGCCACAGGUACCACAAAAGGGCUGUCUGGUAUGUGUUCAUCAUUGAACUUGAUGGAGACCUCAUAGUCACCUGGGGAGAGAAGGCUGGUCAGGACAGGCUCCUUGGGCCAGGGCUCAGGUCUGGAGACAGACUCACACUCCCAGGGGUGUGGGGUGGAGGGAGAUGGGGCAGAGAAAGAGCAGGGACCCAGGUGAAGCGGGAGUUCUGUAGCCCAUCUCUCUGCUCUGGUCAGCAAGCAGAAACCCAGUCUGGAAGGUCAGGCAGGCCCAGCUCCCACCUCCAUCAUGGACACCCACCUGGUUCCUGGACAACAUAGGAGACCCCACAGGAGCCAUCUUUUCGGUCCUCAAAUGAAAUCUCUGCCUUGCUGGGACCCUCCACAGCAAUAGACAGGCCUCCAGCACCAGCUUCUCGGGUCCAAAUGCUGAAUUCAGCUGGGGACAGGGAAGCAGGGCAGAGGCAGUUCUUUAGCACGAUUGCCCAUCCUGCCAGCUGCCCUGCCCCCACCCCCUCUCCUGGACACCUGCCCCUCACCUGGCACACCGGCCACACCUCGCUCCAGUCCUGUGCCUCCAGCCCGCACUUUGUGGGCACCACCUUCACCCAGCGGCCCCACAGUGAACUGAAAGGGACUGCCAGGUACGUGCUGGCCGCGGUACUUGACGGUGACUGUAUGGGGCCCCAUUUCCUGGGGCACAAAACGCACACUGUACGCGCUGUCUUCUCCCUCGACAAUCUCUGCGGCUUCCAUCUUGCCCGAUGGGCUGGUCACCUGUGCAGUCAUGUCCUGGGAACUGGCCUCCCCUGCAGGAGGUGGGAUGGUUAGGCUGACACUGGGCCUGCCCCCAGCCUUGGACCUUCCUUCCCUCCCUCAGUAAGACCCCUCCCCUUCCCAGAACACCCUGGCCAGUUGCCUGUGCCCUCCCCAUCCUGUCCCAGGGGACAGAAGGCCCAGCCUCCCUGUGAGGACCCUGGCCCAGCACGGCCCUGCUUACCCUCCUGCUGCCGGGUGAUGCUGCCAAAGGAGCCCAGGCGCUCCCGGCCCAAGAAGUCCCCGAAGACCGCGGGGAAGGGGUCUCCACCAACCUGGGUGGACUCCUCUACCCGCACCUCACGCUUGGUCUCUCCGCCGCGCGUCUUGCUGAUCUCCGUGCGCUCUGUGCGGGUGUAUGUGUGGCUGCUGCGUGUGAAGGUGCGCGUCAGGCGCUCCUGGGCAGACACCAUCUGGAACCAGUUCCCUGUGGGGCACGGAGCAGUGGAGGUGAGUGUGCCGGAAGGACGGGGCCCCGUGGGGUAGGCUCUGGGCCCGCUGCCCUCCCCAGGGCCCUGCCAGGCUUUUCCUGGCUCCUACCUGGGAUCUUGAGAUUGAGGUCACAGGUGCUGCCAAUGGUGGCAAUGGAAGGUGCCUGUCUCCGCCGCGUGAUGCUUUCCUUCAUGCGACCCUCACCGGUAACCUUCACAGUGAACGGGCUUCCUGGAGGGGGAGAGGCGGGGGGAGCGGAUGGCUCAGACACCGGCCUCCUGGCCUCUCCCUGCCCAGCUGUGGCCCAAAGCUUACCAGGCACGUGCUUGUCAGCAAAUUUGAUGUUUAUGAUGUAGGUGCCAGGCUCAGUGGGGCAGUAGGUGACUUUGCAUGUGCCAUCUUCCAUGUCUUCACAGUUGAUGUCCACCUUGCUAGGGCCUUCAAUACUCAACCCCAGGCCCCCGUAACCUGGCAGGAAGCAAAAGACACAUGUCCCUCAGGCCCUGCCACCCUGCUCUUCCCACCCCCCCACUACAGGCUCUGUCUGGACCAGGCACCCAGCAUGUAUAACCACCAAUGAAAGCUGGCUCUGUGGGAGGAGGGGUAAGCCAGACACUGAACCAGACAGUCUGGGAUGGGCAGUAUGGAAAAUUCCCCCAGGUGGGCCUCUUGGGUUCCAGUGAGUGAGGGACAGUCAGAAACUUAAGAGAGCUGAACUUUCUCUUAACAUUUAAGAGGAAUGACCCGGAACAUGUACUUUCCCUCAACUGGACCCCAGAACGGGAAGUCCAGGGAGGAGGCGAUGACUAAGGGCUGCUGGGCAGGAAAGUUCAAGUCCUUGUUGGAAGCACCAGCCAAAACAAGGGGUUUCUGGGGCGAGAAGCACCUGCGUUGCGAGUGUCCACGAUGAACUCCGCCACCUGGAAGGUGUGUCCCUCGGACAGGCCCUUGCCCCAGACCCGCACCUUGCUGGCAUCUCCGAUCUCAGAUGGCCCCACCAGGAUCUUGAAGGGGCUGUUGGUGACAUGCUUGCCACUUUUGCGCACGCUUACCACGUGCUCCCCAACCUCCUUCGGGGUGAAGGAGAUGCCUGUGGAAAGGGGGGUAGUCAGGCAUGGUGCCCAAGGCCUGGCAGAGCACCCCUUCCCAGCUCCUUUCAGGUCUUCCUCUUCCUGAGGCCCCUCCCCACGGCCCCACACUCACCAAUGUGCCUGUUGGGCAGGCGCUUCAAUAGGCAGGGCUCCUCGUUGCCUGAGGGGGCGCGGAUGCUGGCAGUCAGCAGGCUCAGGUCACUCUCCGUGAUCUUCAGUGACACAUCCGUGGAGGUGCCCACAUUGAGCUGUGAUGUCCUCAUCGAGUCAUCGCCUAGUGGGGGAGUUUGACAUGUCAGGCGGUUAGGACUCCAGGGAAUGGAAUGUUCCUGAUAUUUGUACAAAAAUGCCCUCUUCCACCCAAAGGGGCCCCUACGCUAGCAACCUUUGAUUAUUUGAACACACUGGUCUUGCACAUCCAUCGUGUGCUGGGGGCGUGUACUGGAGGCCUGUGUGCCUACUUUCGCCUCACCUGUGAUCUUGGCCGUGAAAGGGCUUCCUGGGAUGUGCUUGUCAUCAAAGCGCACGAUGAUGCUGUAGUCUCCAGGCGCUGUGGGUAAGUAGGAUACGGUGCAGGUGCCAUCCUUGUUGUCCUUGCAGGUGAUCUCUGCCUUGGAUGGGCCCUCCACAGCCAGGGACAGGCCCCCUGUAGGGGGAGGUGGGGCUGAGAUCAGAGGUCCUGCCCUCAUCCCUGCAUCUGGCCUCCUGCUCCAGCCCUCUGCCUACAGCUCCCCUCACCUUCCCCAGCAUCCUUGGUGACAAUGGUGAAGGUGGCCGGCUUGUUGACCAUACCAUGGCUCAGGCCUGGCCCAUAAGCACUCACAUGGCGGCUAUUGAUGGCAUCCACGUAAAACUGCAGGGGGCUUCCUGAAGGAAACAGAGAAAGGGACUGGGUCACUAGUGAGGACGGGGGCUGCUUGAGCCCAGCACGGUCCCAAGUGCCUUCCUGUGGCUUCCCUGUCUGCUGUGGGGGUCUGUCUGAUGGAAGCCUGCCUCCCACCGAGACACCAGCCUCCCCAGGGCCUGGGGGUGUGUGCUGUGUCUGCACACAGCAGGUGCACAGUGAAUAUUUGUCGAAAGAAGGCAGGCAAGAAUGAAGUCACUGUGGGUUCCUCUCAGCCUGGCCCCAACUUACCAGGGAUGUGGUUGCCGUCAUACUUGAUCCCCAUCUGGUGCAGGCCUUUCUCGGUGGGUGCAUACCUCACCGUGAUGGUUCCAUCCUUAUUGUCGGUGAUGUUGGGCCGGGCUGUUUUCCCAGAGGGCAUCCGUACCUCCCCUGCCAGGGAACACAAUUAUGUAGGGGACCCUGUUUAUCCUACCACAGCCCACCCUUUCCCUGCUGUCCCAGGCACCAUGAGGUAGCCUGGAGCUGUGAGAUGAAGCCCGAACUGGGACACAGAAGGCUCAAGUCUGAAUUGCAGCCCUGCCCAACUUGCUGUGUGACCCUGGGUAGCUCACUUCCCCCCUCUGGCCUGGAAGAAGUCCCCACUCUGAGCUCUCCUGCCUUGGGGCCCCUGGACAGUACCUGUGAGUUCCCCUUUCUGCACGGUGAAGGGGAUGACCAGGUUGAAGGGCCUAAGCAUGGACUCCAUUGGCUCUACAGGCACCACUGGCUCCUCUGUGGCCUGGGGCAGGGGAGAGGAACAGUCAUUGGCUGGGGAAGGCCUGGGGAGCUUGGUCUGAGUCACAAUUGAAGUCAGAGAUAGGAAAGAACAAGAUGGUUAAUGGUGAAACCGGAGCGGCAGGAGAGGUGUGUCAGCUGCAAGAGAAGAGGUGCCGUGCUCAGCUCAGGGAUGUGUCUGCCCAGCCUGAUUCCCGCCUGCUCCCCAAGAUGGCCCCCAGACCAUGCCCCAACCCUGGCCACUGAGGAUCAGAAGGAAGAAAUGAAGGAGCAGGAGGAGGGUGACGUGUGGGAGGCGGCAGUACCCAGUGUGUGGGGUAGGGGCCGGGCCGGUGCGGCUGCAGCACAUCAGGAGGCUCCUCCACGUGGGGCAUGGGGUCACACGCCUGGGAGACAAGGCACGGGAGAGCAUGGCUUGUUACCCGGGAAGCCAGUUCACGCCAGCUCGAGUGAGUGAGAGCGGACUCAGAGAAUGGCCCAGAGAUCUGAAAUCUCAGGCUGCCCAUGAGGCAGUAUGGAUAAUUUGAGUGCUCUACCCUCUAGAGGGCUUCAUCGUCCUGCAGGGCCACCUUGGGGGUAUGUAUAGGGACAGUGGGCCUGAGGAUCAGAGAAGAACAUGGCAAGUUCCUCCAGAGAGAGCCGACCAACAACUGGAAGGGCCAGAAAACGGGCUGUGCUCAACUCCCAAGUUGGGAGGCUGUGGGAAAUCAAUGGUUUGACUCUGGAACACUCUGGGCCCAGAAUCUAUCAGGUGUGCGGACAGGUUCGUGAUUCUUUGCUGCUGCUAAGAGGGCCCAUCUCCCCAGCCAGUGUCCAGGGCCUUGGAACUUACCAGCACGUGGAAGGGGCUGUUGGGGAUGUGCUCGCCUCCGAAGCGGAUGGUGAUGACAUACUUGCCCGGCUCGGGCGCUGUAUAGUAGAUGUCAAAGGUACCAUCGUGGUUCUCAACCACAUCCACGUCGAGCUCCGCCCCAUCCGGAGUGGAUACCGUGCACGUCACCUUCCCCUUGCCUGCCGCCUUGGCGUCCACCGUGAUCACUGUCUCCUCCCCGAUCUGGAUGCGGGGUCCCAAGCAGGCACCUGCCACCCAGAAGAGCCAAGCCAGGUUGAAGGUCUGUGGGGGCUGUGCUCAGUCCCUCUCCAUUCCCAGCUGCCCCUGCCACCUCAGCCCACAGUGAGAAGAGAAGAAAAAGGGCACUCACCCAGGCCAUGGCCUCCAAUGGACACUGGAAACAGAGAAGAGUGUGAGGCCACGUAGCUGGGUCCACCACAUCCUUCACCGGCACCCGGAACGGGCUCCCUGCAAGGAGAAGGACAUCAGCCCCUACCCACCUGCCCAGAAAGGUCUCUGACGCCGAGGAGGCAGGGGAGAGGUUCUCCCUGCCUUCCCUGCCUCUGAAAUAUCAGAGAGGCCAGACCAACAUGUAUAAAUGCUUAGGAACUUGCUCAUAAACGGGGACAAAUAAACUUGGCUGCAGACUAAGGUGGGGCAAACCUUAUGUGCUAGGCCACAGGCCUGGAAGACCUUCUUAAAUUAAUAAAAUGCUAAAAAUGGAUUAUUUUAAAAAUAAAAUGCACUUUUGACCAUGAAGUUAGAAAAGUUAAGGUGGAAAAAAAAAAAUGUCCAAUUUCAGCAUGCCUAAGCCCUGCAAUAACAGAAGACAUGACCUGCCCAAACAGCUCAGCCCUGUUCUUUGCGCGAGAAGGCAUGAGAGAGAGGCUCUCCUCUAACGGCGAGAGUGGCCUGGACUGUGUCUGAGUGACAACCCGUAAGGUCUGGCGCUCUAGGCAAAGGGCCGGGACGCCAGCCCUGGGCCUGUGGGAAUGAACUGAAGGGUUGUCCCAUCAGCAACAAUCACUGCCCUGCCUCUUGGCCACAGCCUCAGCAGCCACACGUUGUCACUGAUGCCUUCCCUGCACAACCCUCCCCCGCCACCCACUCUCUCUGCACACCUGGGAUGGGCCGCCCCCCAAAGGUGAUGUUAACGUCGUAGUCUCCAGCGGUGAAAGGGAUGUACUCCACGGUACAGCUGCCAUCUUUGUUGUCCUUGCAGGACAUCUUGGCUUCUGAGGGGCCCUCGAUGGCUAGGCCAAGGCCUCCGGUGCCAGCUCCCCUGCAAGGCAACACCCUUCUCAGCUCUGCUAGGAACGGUCACAGGCAAUGCAUGGAAAUCAGCCUGCCACAGAACACUACCAGUGGCAAUGAACCCAGACCUUGCUACUUGCAGGCCAAAGAAGAGUGAUCUCAGACUGCCACGGAACACAUAAAAUGGCAUAGGACCCAAUGGGAUGCCACAAAACAGGCAAGGACGUAUAAUCCAGGCCUACCACAGGACACAGGCAAUGGCACAGAACCUGGGGCCCGUCACAGAAUGCCACAGAAGGGGGGCAAUUCCACACUGCCUGGGCCAUUCCACACAGCACAGGUGAGGCCAGUCAGCUGUGGCCAUGCUGGCCCCACCUCCCCUGGACAGUACUAACGUGGCACCACUUUCUUGGCCUGGUGGAAGAUGGGCACGGAGGGGACGUGUGACGGCAAGGGCUCUGAGCGGCAGGGAGAGAACCAAGUGGCGGGAGUCACCACCCGAGGGCCGGGGGUAUGGGUGCCCAUCACAUAUGCCCCCACAACCCUUGCAAGGUGGCACCUGUCUGUAUACUUUGCUGUGGUCUCCGGACCCUCCCUGGGAUAGUAGGUGGAGAGAUGACCAGGAUGAGAUCUCUCCAGAGCUACCCCCUGCCCCCGCCCCAUGGAUAUUCUACCUAUUUUAACGCCGGCUCCCCUCCCACCCCUGGAUUUAGUGGUUCGUUUCCCAUAAACCCUCAGCCCCGGAA